CAGAUUUAAUUUUUUUUAUUUACAAUAAAAUUUAAGUUGUUAAAUUCAACUAUAUCUGA
rnacentral:tRNA from 1 species